rnacentral:rRNA from 1 species
AGCGAACGCUGGCGGCAGGCAUAACACAUGCAAGUCGAACGAAGUCUUCGGACUUAGUGGCGGACGGGUGAGUAACACGUGGGAACGUGCCUUUAGGUUGGGAAUAACUCAGGGAAACUUGUGCUAAUACCGAAUGUGCCCUUCGGGGGAAAGAUUUAUCGCCUUUAGAGCGGCCCGCGUCUGAUUAGCUAGUUGGUGAGGUAAAGGCGUACUAAGGCUACGAUCAGUAGCUGGUCGGAGAGGAUGACCAGCCACCUUGGGAUUGAGACACGGCCCACACGCCUACGGGAGGCAGCAGUGGGGAAUCUUGCGCAAUGGGCGAAGGCCUGACGCAGCCAUGCCGCGUGGAUGAUGAAGGUCUUAGGAUUGUAAAAUCCUUUCACCGGUGAAGAUAAUGACUGUAGCCGGAGAAGAAGCCCCGGCUAACUUCGUGCCAGCCGCCGCCGUAAGAC